UACGUAGGGGGCUAGCGUUGUCCGGAAUCAUUGGGCGUAAAGAGCGUGUAGGCGGUCCGGUAAGUCCGCUGUGAAAGUCGGGGGCUCAACCCUCGAAUGCCGGUGGAUACUGUCGGGCUAGAGUACGGAAGAGGUGAGUGGAAUUCCUGGUGUAGCGGUGAAAUGCGCAGAUAUCAGGAGGAACACCUAUUGCGAAGGCAGCUCGCUGGGACGUAACUGACGCUGAGACGCGAAAGCGUGGGGAGCAAACAGG
rnacentral:rRNA from 1 species